UACGUAGGGUGCAAGCGUUGCCCGGAUUUAUUGGGCGUAAAGGGCGCGUAGGCGGCUCGGCACGUCCGUUGUGAAAUCGCCCGGCUCAACUGGGCGGGGUCAGCGGAUACGGUCGAGCUUGAGCAAGCUAGGGGGCAAUGGAAUUCCCGGUGUAGUGGUGGAAUGCGUAGAGAUCCGGAAGAACACCGGUGGCGAAGGCGGUCUGCUGGGGUAAUGCUGACACUGAGGCGCGACAGCGUGGGGAGCAAACAGG
rnacentral:rRNA from 1 species